AUUGAACGCUGGCGGCAGGCCUAACACAUGCAAGUCGAACGGUAACAGGAAACAGCUUGCUGUUUCGCUGACGAGGGGCGGACGGGUGAGUAAUGUCUGGGAAACUGCCUGAUGGAGGGGGAUAACUACUGGAAACGGUAGCUAAUACCGCAAAACGUCGCAAGACCAAAGAGGGGGACCUUCGGGCCGCUUGCCAUCGGAUGUGCCCAGAUGGGAUUAGCUAGUAGGUGGGGUAACGGCUCACCUAGGCGACGAGCCCUAGCUGGUCUGAGAGGAUGACCAGCCACACUGGAACUGAGACACGGUCCAGACUCCUACGGGAGGCAGCAGUGGGGAAUAUUGCACAAUGGGCGCAAGCCUGAUGCAGCCAUGCCGCGUGUAUGAAGAAGGCCUUCGGGUUGUAAAGUACUUUCAGCGGGGAGGAAGGAAGUAAAGUUAAUACCUUUACUCAUUGACGUUACCCGCAGAAGAAGCACCGGCUAACUCCGUG
rnacentral:rRNA from 1 species